ensembl:lncRNA
CUGAGUGUGACUCCUGGCUCCUCAGGUCAUCCAGGGCUCCAAGCUGUCCCGGAUAAGGAAGGACGCCGGGUACCGGCGGUCUGGGACCAAGAACGCCAGCGCUCAGCUUUACGCGUUGCUCUCCGCAGCCACCGCGCACGCGCAGCUACCCUGCCAAGGAGGGGGCGGGGAGUGGGAGGGGUGGGUAUCGCCCGGGCCAAUCCGAAGCGAGAGCCCCCGCCCUCCGGGCCGGUGGACUGAGCUUGACCCCGGCGGUGGGCGGAGGAGGCGGGGCCAGCCGUGUGGCCGCGGAGGGGGCGGGGCCCGGGGCCUGGAGGCGGGGCCUGGGGCUGUCAGUCCCGCGCCCGCCGCCACUGCCGCCGCCGCCGCCGCGGUUCCUUACAUGCGGUGGCCCCGGUGGCUGCCAGCGCUGUCGCCCGUCGCCCGCCGCCUCGGCAUCCCGAGCCGCCUCUCGCCGUGCCGCCCUGGCGCGCAGGUGUUCAUGAAAAAAUGCACAAAAUCCUGACUGGCCGGAAUAAUUCAUGAAGAAGGGGCUGGAUCCGUGGGUCAGAGAACACAGGACCAGUUUGCCAUCCCAAGGCCGAAGGAAGAAGAAGCGACAUUGGGGGGCAGUGAACAGGACAAAGGCCGUGUGAGGACACGAGAGAAGACGGCUGCCUAUAAGUCAAGCAGACAGGCCUCAGGAGAAACCCACCCUGCCCGCACCCCGACCUUCGACUUGCGGCCUGCAGAACUGUGAGAAAAUAAAUGUCUGUUGGUCUGGUGUCUCGGAUUUGACCCUGCGUUGCCCACUCCUGCUGGAUCUUGUCCAGUCGAGGGACAAAACGUCCUGACACCCUCCUGAAGAAUGGGAAGAAAGGAGAUUCUGGAAGCACAGAUUGCAAUACCAUGCUAGAGGCCGAGGAGACCGACGCGAAGGGAUUGCUCCCACACCAACAGGAGCCCUGAGGACGACUGGAGCUGGAGGCACGCAGGCCCAAGAAGGGUGGAAAUGCCAGCAGUGACCAAGAGCCACCCACAGCGGUUCCCGAGCAGUCUGUCCAGGAUCCACCGAAUGGAGGGCACACGGCAGGUCUCUCUCACUUGGCAACUGCAACUUUGCAACCUGGAACAAAGGCCAGAAAAGCCCAAGAAGGAGCACAAGUCCAAGAGCUUUCAGAGUAACCUUGAGAAAAUUGUCUACUGAAUGGUGACCCGUUCUGCCACUGGAUAUUGGGAGAAGAGACGUUCCCUCGCACGUUGGAUCCCAUCAUACCUGGAUGCCAUUCCUCACAGACUUUGAAGAUUUUAUAUCCACCUUUAAGCAUGCUCUUCCUGUUUCAGCUCUAGGAGUUCUGGUUAACAUUCUCUAUGAGAAAAUGUUCACUUUUUCUCCCUUCGAGUUCUGGAUUAAACUGUCUUACCUGGAGCUGGGUCAGUUGAGGCUAGAGGCACCUCCACACAGUCCUGUUUCUCAGAAGUUGCCAGGUUCAUGUCAUACUUGUUUCAUUUGCGAACAGGGGUCCUCCUCUGACAGAUGCUAUCUGGCCUGGUCAGUGUGGCUCCUGGUCUGCUCUUUGGUGCCUUUCUCUCCUCCCCGUCCCAGGUGAGACUCACCCAGCGGUGACCCUGCGUCUCCUGGUGAGGACCACAUUUGCGGUGGAUGUGCUUUGGCUGGAUGUGUGAGAGAAAGCGUGGUCUGAUGGAACCAACAUCUUUGUAAAUUUGGAGGUGACUGGAGCACGGCUGCAUCCCGGGGAAAGGGAGCUUUAGGGGAGGCCAGUCCUUACCUCAGUGUUCCACCUGGCUCCACCCUCGUAACGCUUACUCUCAUCUUUUUAGUGUCUGUUCUGAUUUAGGGUAGUUAUUCUUUUCUUUAUUCGAUUAAAAGUAACUUUGGUUGUUAUUUUUUAUUUUUGCAAAUCACAUGCUUAUUACAAAAACAGCAAAAAUAUAGUCAGGUAAAAGAGGAAAAAACAAGCCUAAAUCCUACUUACCCCAAAGACAACCAUUGAGAUUCUGUUGAAGAGCCUUCCAGAUCCCUUUCUAGGCAUACCGUAUCGUGGAUAGAUAGAUAGAUAGAUAGAUAGAUAGAUAGAUAGAUAAAUGUAACUGUAAUGUCACAAUUCCACAUAUAUUCUUUGAUAACACACAUUGUCAUUUAAUGUGUUAUCAUGAACAGCUUUCUAUAUCCACAAGCUUUUUUUAAUGAUAAUACCUUUAAUUACAUAAGCGAAAACUUAGACUGAAAAUGUAACAUAAUUUGCAAA